UGCACGUCUAAGUACAAUCCUGAUAUUAUAAGAGAAACUGCAGAUGGCUCAUUAGAUCAGUUAUGGUUUAUCGGAGUUCGUAAAAGUGCCAUGGAUAACUGUGGUAAUUCUAGAGCUAAUACAUGCAAUUAAGCGCCGACCCUUCGGGGAAGGCGUGCUUUUAUUAGGAACAAGGCCAGCCCGGAGGGUCUCCUUUCGGUCUCAUCCGCUGGUGAACUCUAGAUAACAAUGCCGAUCGCACGGUCUCGCACCGGCGACGCUCCCUUCAAAAGUCUGCUCUAUCAACUGUCGAUGGUAUGUUAUGCGCUUAUCAUGGUAAUGACGGGUAACGGAGAAUCAGGGUUCGAUUCCGGAGAGGGAGCCUGAGAAACGGCUACCACAUCCAAGGAAGGCAGCAGGCACGCAAAUUACCCACUCCUGACACGGGGAGGUAGUGACAAAAAAUAACGAUACAGGCCUCUUCGGAGGCCCUGUGAUCGGAAUGAGUACACUUUAAAUCCUUUAACGAGGAUCUACUGGAGGGCAAGUCUGGUGCCAGCAGCCGCGGUAAUUCCAGCUCCAGCAGCGUAUAUUAAAUCUGCUGCAGUUAAAAAGCUCGUAGUCGGAUCUCUGGACGGGGCGGGCGGUCCGCCGUGAGGCGUGUACUGCUCGUUUCUCUUCGCCCGUCAAGGGUGGGGUAGAAUUUCCCGGCCAGUCAUCCGGUUGAUCGUGCGGUGCUCUUAACUGGGUGCCGUGCGAGACUGGAACGUUUACUUUGAGAAAAUUGGAGUGUUCAAAGCAGGCCAAAGUGCCCGAACAGCUCAGCAUGGAAUAAUGGAACAGGACCUCGGUUCUAUUUCGUUGGUCUAAGGGACCGGAGGUAAUGAUCAAGAGGGACUGCCGGGGGCAUUCGUAUUGCGGCGUGAGAGGUGAAAUUCUUGGAUCGUCGCAAGACGCCCGACCGCGAAAGCAUUUGCCAAGAAUGUUUUCAUUGAUCAAGAACGAAAGUCGGAGGAUCGAAGGCGAUCAGAUACCGCCCUAGUUCCGACCAUAAACGAUACCAACUCGCAAUCCGCCGGCGUUCCUCCCAUGACGCGGCGGGCAGCCUCCGGGAAACCAAAGUCUUUGGGUUCUGGGGGAAGUAUGGUUGCAAAGCUGAAACUUAAAGGAAUUGACGGAAGGGCACCACCAGGAGUGGAGCCUGCGGCUUAAUUUGACUCAACACGGGGAAACCUACCCGGCCCGGACACAGUAAGGAUUGACAGAUUGAGAGCUCUUUCUUGAUUUUGUGGAUGGUGGUGCAUGGCCGUUCUUAGUUGGUGGAGCGAUUUGUCUGGUUAAUUCCGAUAACGAACGAGACUCUGGCUUGCUAAAUAGUCUGGCUACCCGUCGCGGUAGGCCACGAACUUCUUAGAGGGACAAAUGGCUCUCAGCCAUACGAAAUAGAGCAAUAACAGGUCUGUGAUGCCCUUAGAUGUCCGGGGCCGCACGCGCGCUACACUGGAGUAAGCAGCGGGUAAACUAUCCUCGGCCGACAGGUCCGGGUAAUCCGCUGAAACUUCUCCGUGAUGGGGACAGGGACUUGUAAUUAUGUCCCUCGAACGAGGAAUUCCAAGUAAACGCGAGUCAUCAGCUCGCAUUGAUUACGUCCCUGCCCUUUGUACACACCGCCCGUCGCUACUACCGAUCGAAUGGCUUAGUGAGGCCAUCGGAUCGUCCGUCUGGCGUCCCGGCUUCGGCCGGUGUCAAGGCGUGAUGAAAAGACGGUCAAACUUGAUCAUUUAGAGGAAGU
rnacentral:rRNA from 1 species